rnacentral:rRNA from 1 species
GAUGAACGCUGGCGGCGUGCUUAACACAUGCAAGUCGAACGGUGAACGAGGGAGCUUGCUCCCUCCGGAUCAGUGGCGAACGGGUGAGUAACACGUGAGCAAUCUGCCCCGAACUCUGGGAUAAGCGCUGGAAACGGCGUCUAAUACCGGAUACGACGCGCGAAGGCAUCUUCUGCGCGUGGAAAGAAUUUCGGUUCGGGAUGAGCUCGCGGCCUAGCAGCGAGUUGGUGAGGGAACGGCUCACCAAGGCGACGACGGGUAGCCGGCCUGAGAGGGUGACCGGCCACACUGGGACUGAGACACGGCCCAGACUCCUACGGGAGGCAGCAGUGGGGAAUAUUGCACAAUGGGCGCAAGCCUGAUGCAGCAACGCCGCGUGAGGGACGACGGCCUUCGGGUUGUAAACCUCUUUUAGUAGGGAAGAAGCGAAAGUGACGGUACCUGCAGAAAAAGCACCGGCUAACUACGUGCCAGCCGCCGCGGUAAGAC